UGCAAUUCAACCUUGUCGUGGUUGAUACUGGCUAGAUCUUAUUGUUGCCUCUCAUCGCUUGCCAUAUAAGAGUGAAUGACGAUGUCUCUAAGCUCCAGCAUUAUGAUAAUGUCUACAAGAUCAGAAGUGCAUGCUUAGUGACUUUUGAUGAUGUAUAGAGCUCUUUUCUCACUAUUUCCUAUUUUUUUGUCCAUCAAUUGCUACAAGUUAGUUCUUUCUUGGCACAUGAAGGCUGCCACCAUGUGUGAAUUUUCCAAGCAGGAGUUCAUUGGUGGUUUACAAGCUCUUGGGAUAGAUUCACUGGAGAAGUUCUGUGACA